rnacentral:rRNA from 1 species
AUACGGAGGGUGCAAGCGUUACUCGGAAUCACUGGGCGUAAAGCGCGCGCAGGCGGGCUGAUAAGUUGGAUGUGAAAGCCUACGGCUCAACCGUAGAACUGCAUCCAAAACUGUCAGUCUAGAGUGUGGGAGAGGAAGAUGGAAUUAGUUGUGUAGGGGUAAAAUCCGUAGAGAUAACUAGGAAUACCAAAAGCGAAGGCAAUCUUCUGGAACACUACUGACGCUGAGGCGCGAAGGCGUGGGGAGCAAACAGGAUUAGAAACCCCAGUAGUCCC